CCCUUAGAUGAUUUGGGCUGCACGCGCGCUACACUGACCCUAACAAUGAGCAACUGUCUGGCCUGAGAUGGCUGGGUAGCCUUUUCAACCCAUGUCAUGAUUGGGCUAGAUUUUUGUAAGUCUUGAUCUCUAACGAGGAAUCCCUAGUAUGCGUGAAUCAUCAAUCCAUGCAGAUUAUGUCCCUGCCCUUUGUUCACACCGCCCGUCGCUCCUACUGAUUGGGUGAUCCGGUGAGCUGUUCGGCCAUAGCAAUGUUUCUUGAGCAGGGCAAUGAAUGUUUCGCAAACCUUGCCACUUAGAGGAAGGAGAAGUCGUAACA
rnacentral:rRNA from 1 species